AUGGACACCGUUGGAGCCAGUCCUCAUCCUUUUCAUACACACAUAAAAAGAGAAAUUUCUCCUCCUCACCCCUGGCUUUUGGGCAGUGGGCGGUGUGUGGGUGGCGGUUUUCAAACCGAAGUCCUUCUAGACAACAGGUACGCACCGUUUCCUCAUGCCGUUGCUCGGGCUCAAUCCCGCGUGGCAGCCGGUUUUCUGCCACCCCCCAGGAGAGGACUCACUGCGUGUAGCAUAUGUCUCUCCGCCCAGGACUCUUCCUCCCCAUCGUCUUCUCCACACGGAGCCUCCCUUCCCCGACACCUUCUCCCACCGCCUCUGAGGCAGAAACGGCUCCGUCAGACGCUGUGGGGACACGGGCUCCUUCCCGCAGGGCAGAGGGGCUGCCGGGUCCCAGCCCGCAUCCUGACACCUCCGCACACCGCCCAGCGAACGACGCCCCGCAGCUGCCGCGGCUCGUUGCCAAGCCCAGGAUAACGCACCGAGGACCCAACUGCAGUUGAAGACCCAUUGUGCUAAGCACUAUACACGCAUGUAAAAACAGCUAAUGACUCUAUCCUCUUUCCUUGCACUUUCCCACCUUAGCCAUUAGUUACUUCGUAUCCUUGGAAGAAACACUGACCAGUGCCCAACACCCUCAAGCCAUGGCUAAAGAAGGAGCCAGAAGAUGCUGUUCCCUGUUCCUUAUGUUCUUCCUCGCCACAAAUGUUGUUUCCCAGCUGUCACUAAACACUGUGGCUUGCUGACAUUCCUUUUUAGGCUAGCAGUAAGAGUUUACUCAGACAACUUGACCAUUGUAACGGACCACGUAAUUCCCUUAGGCACUGAAACUGCUCGCUCCCCAAAAGCAAGUUGAACCCUAAAUGAAUAGGGCUUCCAAAAAACCUGAUCCUGCAUCUCACCAUCUUCGUGCAUUAACCAGCAUGACUGUGGUGUGCAAGACAGUUCUUUUGCAAACUUGAUGACAUCCCUCAUCAGCACAUAAUAGACACAGCAGUAACAUCAUCCCCCGCAUCUGCCUCAGUUGUCAAUACUCUGCAUGCUACUUUGCAACUCUGGACGUAGCUGCAUUAUUAUUGUUCUAAGCCUCCAUCAUGAACUGCUAGUACUUCUCUUACUUUCUCCCUGAUCUCAGCACAAGCAUAUGCAAGCACACACGUGGAGGCAACAUUUCUUGUGUUGUACCAACAGGCAUUUUUAUUUUUCAUCAGGCCUUUAUUAGCGCACUGCUGGAGAGUUGUCUUGACUGCUUUGAUAACGUUAAUGAUCAUAUUGUGUGUAAUUGCAUGUUAUCUCUUGGGAAAGUUGUAUAAUAUCACAGGCACAGUGGAAAGAACAGCUAAUGUAUGUAUAGAUUUAAUUGUUAGCUAUAUCUCUGCAUGCAGGGCUUGGAAAUAGCUUAUACAUGCCCAUACACCAUACUGGUGCCUCUUGCAUGCUGCUCUCUUGUUCUAUAGAAUCUCAGCUUCAAUUUUUUUUCUUAAAUGACCUCUUAAACUGUUAUGGUUGCGAAGAAAACCUCAAACACAUAAAACAAGUGUAACUACCUAAGAGCCACCCAAGUCUGCAGAGCAUCUGUAACAAUAGUUCCAUUCAUCUCAGUGAGGCGUUAACUCAGAUGCCCAGCUAUGAUCAUUUAAGAUGUCAACAUUGUGCAGAUCUGUGAUCAUCCCUCUCCUUUCUUAUGUGAGGAAUAACAUAAUCUACUAUGAGUGAUGUAUCAUUCUGGAUUCACAAGUGUGUGGUAUUUGAAGAUACUACUACGUGUGUUUUUAACUCAGUUGAAAAGGAAUCAAUCCCAAUUUGCCUUGCAGAGCCUAUGGGCCUAUACAAGCCCCAGUGAGGAGAGGAGCCAAGAUCAAGAGCUCAGAGAACACACACUCAGUGGAGUUAGAGAACACACACAAUCAUAUUUAAACAACAGCAAAAUACACUGUGUGCAAUGUCUCAUUUUGAUAAUUCCAGUUGAUGGAGCUUAUUUUGUGGGUGGAGCUUGAAAGAGUGCUACCAACUUUCUUUUUCCAGUCUAAUCUAUUUGCAUGCCAUGUAAUAUCCUUUUGCAAACACUGUAGGACCUGUCUAAAUUCUCCUCAAAAAGUGAUUUGUACAGUUCACAUUCCAGAUAACACAACAUUUUUGGAAGCAUUUGUCCUUUUGUUUUCUUUUUUUUUUUGACACUGUUAAUUAAAAUUGGUGCAAAGCAUUGUAUAGAUUAAACCACAAAUAUUAAUAAUGAAAUAAACCAGAGCAGAUAGGAAGGACCUAUUCUUUU
rnacentral:lncRNA from 1 species